CAACAACAACAACAACAAACCCAGCGUAUUCCCACUUAGUGGGGUCUGGGGGGGGUAAGAUGUACGCAGUCCAUACCUCUACCUCUGAUGAAGUAGAAAGGCUGUUUCCGAAAGACCCCCGGCUCAAGUCACGAGAUAUCACACAAACACAUAGUACAGCACAGCAGCAGAUGACAUAACAUAGAUACGGCACCCAUAGGGAAUAUAAAACAGAGUAAAGUAGGAAUGCAGGAAUAAUAAAGCAGAGGAAAGCACACAGAUUCGUAAUAAACAUGGAACACGGAACACGAAACACUGAAUACAGAAUCAUAACAGGAAUACACCCCCACCAAUUAAUUCCCUACACUAGCGACCCGAACUGGCCCUAAUCCUCUGCCGUAAUUCGCAUCUUCCAGACCUUCCUAUCUAGGGUCAUGUCCUCGGUAAGCUGUAACUGUUCCAUGUCCCGCCUAAUCACCUCACCCCAGUACUUCUUCGGUCUACCCCUACCCCGUCUAAAACCAUCCAACGCUAGCCUCUCACACCUACGGACCGGGGCAUCCAUGCCCCUCCUCUUCACGUGUCCGAACCAUCUCAAUCGUGCUUCCCGCAUCUUACACUCCACUGAAGUCACACCAACCUUCUCCCGGAUAGUCUCAUUCCGAA
rnacentral:lncRNA from 1 species